CUCUGGUAUGGAGAGGAUGUGGAGGAAGAGUGGAGGCCGUCAGAAGAUGUGGGCAUUGUCAAUCCAUCAUCAGCUCCUUGGAAUGAACAUGAAGAGAGAAGCAGAGUGUUCAAACCAUGUCUUUCCGCAUUAGACACGUCAGCAACGUUCCAGAAGCCAGUAGUGGUCACUCAGCGUUGUUCUCAGCCUUAAACGGGAUCAAUUCUUGAUAGCUCCCUUGAACAGUCAAGGUGAAUCAACAAACCAGCAUCCUAAGGAUUGUACUGAAAAUCCAUCAACAGGCAGGCGGGUCCAGUGGUGCUGAUGUUCACCUUCCUAACCUUCUCAGAUAUGGUUUCAAAGCCUCCAAGAGAUUUUAUACACCUGUUUCUUACAGCAGGUCCUUGUUGACAGAAAGCAUCAACUUACAAACAUACCUUAUUUAUUGAACUAAAAAUAAAUUGAGAUUUUCUAUGACUGCUAAUACAGACAAAACACAUACAUAUAUUGUACUAUCUUUCACAGCAGAUGAAAGACUCCACAGUAU